rnacentral:rRNA from 1 species
UUGGUGCUUGCACUGAUCCGAUCGAGUGGCGGACGGGUGAGUAACGCGUGGGUAACCUGCCUCAUACAGGGGAAUAACAGUUGGAAACGGCUGCUAAAACCGCAUAAGCACACGGUAUCGCAUGAUACAGUGUGAAAAACUCCGGUGGUAUAAGAUGGACCCGCGUCUGAUUAGCUGGUUGGUGAGGUAACGGCCCACCAAGGCGACGAUCAGUAGCCGGCCUGAGAGGGCGGACGGCCACAUUGGGACUGAGACACGGUCCAUACUCC